rnacentral:rRNA from 1 species
ACACUGACGUCGCGACGCAUAUCAAUAAGCGGAGGAAAAGAAACUAACAAGGAUUCCCUCAGUAACGGCGAGUGAAGCGGGAAGAGCUCAAAUUUGAAAUCUUCAAGGUUCUACCUUGACGAAUUGUAGUUUAAAGAAGUGUUUUCUGUUAGUGGAGUUUGGUAAAAGUUCUUUGGAAUAGGACAUCAUAGAGGGUGAGAAUCCCGUAUUUGGAUCCAUUAUUUCCAGCUUUGUGAUACACUUUCAAAGAGUCGGAUUGUUUGGGAAUGCAGUCCAAAAUGGGUGGUAAAUUUCAUCUAAAGCUAAAUAUUGGCGAGAGACCGAUAGCGAACAAGUACCGUGAGGGAAAGAUGAAAAGAACUUUGAAAAGAGAGUUAAACAGUACGUGAAAUUGUGUCAAAAGGGAAGCGUUUGACACCAGUGUUGUUUUUCCGAAAAUCAAUUAUAAAUGUUUUGUUUCUGAGGAGUGAUGACUUCAUCGGCUUCCUUCUCUCUUCACGAAACUUUUGUAAUGCACUUUUCGGUUAACAAGUCAACAUCAAUUUCUUUUGUUGUAAAAGAGUAUUCGGAAGGUGGCUUUCUUUUCGGAGAAAGUGUUUAUAGCCCUAUACUUCUACAAUCGGAGAGAUUGAGGUCUGCAGCGUAGAUCCUUCGGGGUUAGAUACACUUGUGCUAAGUUAUAGCUUUUCAUAGACAACUUGUUGACUAUGUUUAGUCUUGUAGCUUACUCGCUUGUGCUAUUUUACCUACGCUUAGGAUGUUGAGUCGUAGAGCACGCAG